GGAAAGGUGUCCGAGUGGUUGAAGGUGUAGACUUGGAAGGUCUAUAUAGUUGAAAACUAUCGAGGGUUCGAAUCCCUCUCUUUCCG
rnacentral:tRNA from 1 species